GGACAAAUGGACCUGCGGUAGGAGAGAGGGACAACAGUAGGAGCAGGCAGAUCUUGCUGUUUCAACCAAAACCUCAUGCUGACCAGAGUUGAGGAACAGAAGAAGAUGGUGAAGGCCUGCAGGUAUAGGUGUUCAGCAUGUCAUCUGAAAUAUUCCCCACAGAGGCAAAAAGAAAGGAAAUUAUCUCUGAAAAGGAAUGGGAGGACAAGCAGAAAUGAAGAUGCUUGUUUUCCUAGAAACAAGCCCAGGUCAUCCAUCAUGAAGUCCAGGAAUUGUAAAUGUGAGGAAGUGCAAAGACACAACGUACACUUACAAAGGCAUAUGUGCAUUUGGAAUUCUUUAAAGGACAACAUCCUCGAGCUUCUCCUGGUAGUAUACUCUAGAUAUAACGUAGUGUUUGGGCAAUUUGGGAUCAAAUAAUUCUUACAGCUUUAUAGAAUCCCUUGUGUAAUUAAACUUGAACCUUGUAUAACUUA
ensembl:lncRNA TESHL testicular germ cell expressed HSF2 interacting lncRNA